UAGGAUGAAAAAUUUUGUUCUGCAUUUUUUUUUAGUUGUAAUCUCUGUCCUGCCUUUUUAUUUUUCACUCUAUUCGGUCCUGCCUUUUUUUAAGUUUAUCCUGACUUUUUUUUACCUAAAUUGUCAUCCCGACUUUUUUUUUUUUGCAAGUGUCUCAUCCUGCCUUUUUUUUACUCAAAACUGCUGUCUGCCUAUUUUUUUCAAAUUUCAUCCUAGACCCCAUAAAAAUCAAAUGGUAGCUCCCUUAUUUAGCAUCCCCAUUUCGAAUGAAAAUAAAUAUUUUUUAUAUUAAUGCUUCAAUGAUGAAACGGGAAUAAAAUGUAUUGAAAUAUCGUUUGGCAGUACAAGUAUAUCGGGUAACAUUUAUGUACUUUUACAAAAAAAAUCUUCACUGAGAAUUCAAUCGCGGCAUUUGAGUCCUAAAGAAAUUUUCCAGUUCUCUUAACUAAAGCGUGUAUUGUGUAUAUUAAUAUUUCGCGUAAUCAAGUAUAACAGUUACCUUUUCUAUGAUUAUUUAUUAGGAAUGCGAUUAUUAUAUGAGAUAUUCUGAUUGAAAGAUGUAUGAAAAAAAACUGACGUUUAACAAAUUUCUCGAAAAUACUAGUAUGCAACAUUUUACAUGAAAAUGACGAACUAGAUAAUAAGUAAACACGUUAAAUAAGUUGGUAUUACAGUACUCACAAGCUUAUGAUCCUGUAUCAUUUUUUGACAUCCGUUUUAAGUAUACAAAGAAUGCAUUUAAUUCAGUUUGCUUCAUGACCUUCAUUCCCGCCAAAAUCGUCCUUUUGGCGCCGUCUUUUGACAUUGUCAGUGCUUCUCAGUAUUGUGACGUUACUAUGGACCUUUGACGUUCUACACAAUCAACAAGAUUUGUGUGUAGAAGCGAAGCCGUAAAUGUCCCUUUGGCAGCAAGAGGGUUAAUAUUGAACAUAGUAUUACAAUUGCCUACGUUUAUGUGAUUGGAUUUCAUUACGUCAUUCAUUGUUUACAAACGUUAUUUUUGCACUCGCACUAACAUUUCAACAAGUCAACAGUUCAAACUUCUUCUGGACAAAAGGAAUAAAUUCUCAGAAUGAUUAACAGCAUAGAAGACAGCUGCUGAAAUGGGAACGUACGAUGUGAAAAUUAAAGACCUAUAUGGGUCAUUUUCAAAAACUGUCGAAUUUUGAAAUUGAAAAAUUUAUUAAAAGUUACUUAUUCAAACAACCCUCUACAUAAGCAAAUCAAAACAAACAGUACUUAUAGAACAACAUAUUAAAAGAUGCAAUCUUAAUAAUGUCAUACAAGAAUAUCUUGAAACAUUUUUUGAUAGGUGGUACAAUAUUUUGUCUCUCCUGUUACCAUUUUCAAAAGAAAUUUUGGGUUAUUAAGAAAAGGUUUAGAUAAAAUGUUAAGCUUGUUUUUCGUAGCCAAUUAGAUGGUUUUCAAGAGAAUAAACUUCUAUAUAUAUUCAUUUUGUGAAAUAAUAGAUUAUUUGCAAAUUUUCCAGGUUGUACUGAAAAAUGCCUCUAAAAAUUGGUUUUCAAAGGUUGUAAAAAUUACCACCAGUAAUGCAAGUCUAAGAUAGCAAUUCAAAUUGUUCGGCAUUUUUUCUCUCUUUCAAAUAAACCCAACAUCAAGUAAAUCCCUCACAUGUUAGUUUACUUUUGUCUUUAUUUUAUUGGUAACAGGAACGUACGUUAAUGAUAUAUCACUAUAUAAAGUUCUAUCCUGUUACCUUUUUGUCUAUCCUGUUACCGAUAUCAGUAUUGCACCUGCAAAUACUAAAUUGGGAAGAUUAAGACGUUAUAACCUUAAUAUGAGUUCAAACAACAAAAGAUUUCAUUCUGUUUGCAACUAUAUGUUAUGAUAAACUUUUUAACGACGUUUCUGUCUACAAUUGUCUAUCCUGUUACUGUAACCAUAGCAACCAUAGUAACAGGAUAGACAUAACAGGAUAGACAAAUUUCUUCAUUUUCGAAUGCUGUUGUGAAAUAACUACUCCCUUUGGUGAGGUGAUAAUGUUUUUCUGUUGUGAAUUUGGUUUCCAACACGUUAUUGCACUUUUUACAAGUAUACUUUUGGUGUAAUUAAUCAAAAUUGUUGGUAACAGCAUAGACAUGAAAAAAAGUACCCUCUAUUUUUUUUCACUAAAUGUCUUGAAAUUUCUUUUCUCUACACUGUCGUUCAAGAAACGUGCUGUGUUAAAUGUAAAGGUUACUUUGCACUUUUGAAAUCAACACUGACUAAUUCAAUAUUCAUAGGGAGAAUAAUUUAACGGCUGAUUUAAGUAGCGGUAACAGGAUGGACAUGAACUUCAUGUACGCUGAUUGAAUUAAGUUUGUAGAUAAAAUGUUACAUAUAAUGAUAAAGAAGGUACGAUUUUUCGUUAGAGUAAUUAUUAACGUUCUUAAAAAGUCCCUUUUGCAGAUAUCAAGGCAAUCAGAAAAUCGGAAAAAAAUCAUUUGAAAUGUGUUUUUCUGAAACUGUACGCACACAAAUUACCCAAAAAUCGGACUUAAAUACAUUUUAAUCUUAUGAAAAUAGAUGUAAAUCGUGUUUAUUAUUAAUGUUCUGAAUCAUAAAUCCUACAAGCUUUCAUUUAAACAAUUACAACUGAAAUUUCCAUAAGAAAUAAAAAAUUUAGCAUGGGUGUACUGAUAAUUCGACAUUUUUUGAAAAUGACCCAUAUACAGAAGGAUGUAUUUUAAUAUGGCAUUCAUCAGAAAAGACAAUAUUUAAUCAUAAACCAUGUAAUUCCGUUGAGUUUCGUACAAGUACCAAAACAUAAAAGAUGGAUGCUUGUAAUGAGCUCAUAUUAGAACUAGGGAGUCCUCUGGAAUUACCAAUCUACAUGUAACAAGACACAUCAUAUGUGAGACUGAAUUGAGGAAAAGACACCAGCCAGGAAACUGACAUUCUAUAAAGCAUUCCAAAGAAAAGAUGGCAAAGGGGGGAGAGCAAUAAAACAUGAUACAAGCAAAAUUAAGUGUUUCUUUGAUUGUUUUAUUUAUGAACCUUAAUUACAAGGGUCAUAAAAUAAUCAAGGGGUUAUAUAGUACAAUUGUAUCCUAAGUUUCUGUUGAAUUUAACUAUAUUUUGUACUUAAUAUAUAUAUAUCAACAGAAAUAUUCUUUAAAUAAUUUAAAAUGUGCAAAUCUUAUUCCUCCGUUAUAUAAAAAAAAUGAAGUGGUGCUUGCAGGCAAUAUUUUAUGAAAAAUUGUUUUCAAAUUCACCAAAAACUUGCUACAUAGCAAGAAUACGCCAUGUUUGCCAGCUUUUACAUAAAUAAAAAAAAACUUAAAUCUCACUGGUACAUCCAUAUGAAAUAAAGUCUGCUGCUGCCAAAAAUCAAGAUUACAAACUAUGUUUCUAAAAGUAGAUUACAACAAUACUGAACUCUGAAAAAUUUUAAAAAGCGGGGAAAUUUCAUAAACAUCUGGCAAAACCAAACGCUAAAGCACAUCAAAUAGCAGAACGAAUGGAAAACAACCGUCAUAUUCUUAACUUGGUAAAGGCAUUAUCUUAAUUGUCUCAUAAUAAUCCUCCCAGUUUUUUCAAGUAUUCUUACUCUGAAAGGAAAAUAUGAAAGAAAAAUCAUUUGCAACUUUACAAAUUAUCGGCAUGAAAAUGAUUGACAUUUUUGUCACAGACUUCAUAUGUUUAUUUGACAAUAAAGAUUAUUAUAUUAAAACAA